AUUGAACGCUGGCGGCAGGCCUAACACAUGCAAGUCGAACGAGUGGCGGACGGGUGAGUAAUGUCUGGGGAACUGCCUGAUGGAGGGGGAUAACUACUGGAAACGGUAGCUAAUACCGCAUACCAUCGGAUGUGCCCAGUUGGGAUUAGCUAGUAGGUGGGGUAACGGCUCACCUAGGCGACGAUCCCUAGCUGGUCUGAGAGGAUGACCAGCCACACUGGAACUGAGACACGGCCCAGACUCCUACGGGAGGCAGCAGUGGGGAAUAUUGCACAAUGGGCGCAAGCCUGAUGCAGCCAUGCCGCGUGUAUGAAGAAGGCCUUCGGGUUGUAAAGCACUUUCAGUCGGGAGGCGUUACUGACAGAAGAAGCACCGGCUAACUCCGUGCCAGCAGCCGCGGUAAUAC
rnacentral:rRNA from 1 species